GGAAAGAUGGCCGAGUGGUUUAAAGGCGUAGCAUUGGAAUUGCUAUGUAGGCUUGUGUUUACCGAGGGUUCGAAUCCCUCUCUUUCCG
rnacentral:tRNA from 1 species